rnacentral:ncRNA from 1 species
CUAACGGCCUCCAUUUGCUGGAAUUAAUUGGAAUAGUUGAGAAGAAAGUGACAAACGAAUGCGUAAUGCGUGGGAAUCUGCCGAAUAGUUCAGGCUGAAUCCCGAAGAAAGUUCGUUGGUCAGGUAAAGGUUGGCCAGCCAAUGAUGCUUAGCUGGUCUUUUUGAAUGUUUAGCCACACUAGGACUGAGACAUAGCCCAGACUCCCAUGGGGGGCAGCAGAGGGGAAUCUUGGACAAUGGGCGAAAGCCCGAUCUAGCAAUAUCGUGUGAGUGAAGAAGGUCAAUGCUCCUUUUAAAGCUCUUACGUUGAGUGCACGAUCAUGUCAUAUCUCGAGGAAGAAGCCCCGGCUCACUCUGUGCCAGCAGCCGCGCUAAGACNAAGUGAGACAG